UACGUAGGGAGCGAGCGUUGUCCGGAUUCACUGGGCGUAAAGCGCACGCAGGCGGAUCGAUAAGUCAGGGGUGAAAUCCCGGAGCUCAACUUCGGAAUUGCCUUUGAUACUGUCUGUCUUGAGUCCGGGAGAGGUGAGUGGAAUUCCUAGUGUAGAGGUGAAAUUCGUAGAUAUUAGGAAGAACACCAGUGGCGAAGGCGGCUCACUGGACCGGUAUUGACGCUGAGGUGCGAAAGCGUGGGGAGCAAACAGGGAU
rnacentral:rRNA from 1 species